rnacentral:rRNA from 1 species
GACGUAGGGCGCGAGCGUUGUCCGGAUUUAUUGGGCGUAAAGAGCUCGUAGGCGGCUUGUCGCGUCGACUGUGAAAACCCGCGGCUCAACUGCGGGCCUGCAGCCGAUACGGGCAGGCUGGAGUUCGGUAGGGGAGGACUGGAAUUCCUGGUGUAGGGGUGAAAUCCGUAGAUAUCGGGAGGAAUACCAGCGGCGAAGGCGGCCUUCUGGGACGGUGACUGACGCUGAGGCGCGAAAGCGUGGGGAGCAAACAGG